rnacentral:rRNA from 1 species
UACAGAGGGGGCAAGCGUUGUUCGGAAUUACUGGGCGUAAAGGGCGCGUAGGCGGCCUGUUAAGUCGAACGUGAAAUCCCCGGGCUCAACCCGGGAACUGCGUCCGAUACUGGCAGGCUUGAAUCCGGGAGAGGGAUGCGGAAUUCCAGGUGUAGCGGUGAAAUGCGUAGAUAUCUGGAGGAACACCUGUGGCGAAGGCGGCAUCCUGGACCGGUAUUGACGCUGAGGCGCGAAAGCCAGGGGAGCAAACGGG